AAUCAACGCUGGCGGCAUGCCUAACACAUGCAAGUCGAACGAGACCUUCGGGUCUAGUGGCGCACGGGUGCGUAACGCGUGGGAAUCUGCCCUUAGGUACGGAAUAACUCAGGGAAACUUGAGCUAAUACCGUAUAAUGACUUCGGUCCAAAGAUUUAUCGCCUAAGGAUGAGCCCGCGUCGGAUUAGCUAGUUGGUGAGGUAAAAGCUCACCAAGGCGACGAUCCGUAGCGGUCUGAGAGGAUGAUCAGCCACACUGGGACUGAGACACGGCCCAGACUCCUACGGGAGGCAGCAGUGGGGAAUAUUGGACAAUGGGCGAAAGCCUGAUCCAGCAAUGCCGCGUGAGUGAUGAAGGCCUUAGGGUUGUAAAGCUCUUUUACCCGGGAUGAUAA
rnacentral:rRNA from 1 species